rnacentral:rRNA from 1 species
GAUAAACAAUCUUGUACUAGUAUAAGUGAUUCUUUCCUACUGGUUACUCGACUCUGUCCUUUACUGGAUGGAGUAGUGUCGCAAGGCAUCGCUUGAUGUUAUAUUGCCUGUAAGUGUAGUUAUUGGGUAAAACUGGUAGUGAAACUUAUAGGAUCACAGUAUAGUAUUAAGUGGGGUUCCAGUUCAUUUACUUUGAGUAAAUUAGAGUGUUCAAAGCAGCCUCUUGGGGCAUUGAAUAGAUUAGCAUGGGAUAAUAGAAUAGGACUCUUGUCUUUUUAUUGGUUUAAAGAUUUAGAGUAAUGAUUAAUAGGGAUAGUUGGGGGCACUUGUAUUCAAUAGUCAGAGGUGAAAUUCUAGGAUUUAUUGAAGACAAACUUCAGCAAAGCAUUUGCCAAGGAUGUUUUCAUUAAUCAAGAACGAAAGUUAGGGGAUCGAAGACGAUUAGACACCGUCGUAGUCUUAACUAUAAACUAUGCCGACCAGGGAUAUGAGGAAGUAUAUUAUAAUAUUCA